rnacentral:rRNA from 1 species
UAGGGAAUAUUAAUAAUGGGCGAAAGCCUGAACUAGCAACGCCGCGUGUGCGAAGAAGGCCUUCGGGUUGUAAAGCACUUUUUGAGAGGAUGAGGAAGGACGGUACUCUCAGAAUAAGUCUCGGCUAACUACGUGCCAGCAGCCGCGGUAACACGUAGGAGGCGAACGUUAUCCGGAUUUACUGGGCGUAAAGCGCGUGUAGGUGGUUUGGUAAGUAGGGCGUGAAAGCUCCUGGCUCAACUAGGAGAGGCCGUUCUAAACUGCCGAACUAGAGGAUGGUAGAGGGAGGUGGAAUUCCGGGUGUAGCGGUGGAAUGCGCAGAUAUCCGGAGGAACACCAGUGGCGAAAGCGGCCUCCUGGACCACUCCUGACACUCAGACGCGAAAGCUAGGUUAGCAAACGG